GAUGAAGAACGUAGCGAAAUGCGAUAAGUAAUGUGAAUUGCAGAAUUCAGUGAAUCAUCGAAUCUUUGAACGCCCAUUGCGCCCGCCAGUAUUCUGGCGGGCAUGCCUGUUCGAGCGUCAUUACAACCCUCAGGCCCCCGGGCCUGGCGUUGGGGAUCGGCGGAAGCCCCCUGCGGGCACAACGCCGUCCCCCAAAUACAGUGGCGGUCCCGCCGCAGCUUCCAUUGCGUAGUAGCUAACACCUCGCAACUGGAGAGCGGCGCGGCCACGCCGUAAAACACCCAACUUCUGAAUGUUGACCGCGAAUCAGGUAGGAAUACCCGCUGAACUUAAGCAUAUCAAUAAGCGGAGGA
rnacentral:misc_RNA from 1 species